AUAAUCUCUUCGGAGGAAAGGGGGCCUCUACAUGUAAGCUCUCGCUAAUGGAUGAGCCCAAGUCAGAUUAGCUUGUUGGUAAGGUAACGGCUUACCAAGGCUACGAUCUCUAGCUGGUCUGAGAGGAUGAUCAGCCACACUGGGACUGAGACACGGCCCAGACUCCUACGGGAGGCAGCAGUGGGGAAUAUUGCACAAUGGGCGAAAGCCUGAUGCAGCAAUGCCGCGUGUGUGAAGAAGGCUCUAGGGUUGUAAAGCACUUUCAAUAAGGAAGAAAAGUAUAAAGUUAAUAACUUUAUACAUUGACUUAACUUAUACAAGAAGCACCGGCUAAUUCCGUGCCAGCAGCCGCGGUAAUACGGAAGGUGCAAGCGUUAAUCGGAAUUACUGGGCGUAAAGCGCGCGUAGGCUGUUAUCUAAGUCGAAUGUGAAAUCCUCGGGCUCAACCUGGGAACUGCAUCCGAAACUGGAUAACUAGAGUAUGGGAGAGGUAAGUAGAAUUUCCGGUGUAGCGGUGAAAUGCGUAGAUAUCGGAAGGAAUACCAGUGGCGAAGGCGGCUUACUGGACCAAUACUGACGCUAAGGUGCGAAAGCGUGGGGAGCGAACAGGAUUAGAUACCCUGGUAGUCCACGCCGUAAACGAUGAGAACUAGAUGUUGGGAGGGUUAGCCUCUCAGUGUCGCAGCUAACGCAUUAAG
rnacentral:rRNA from 1 species